rnacentral:rRNA from 1 species
AAUAGUCGUAACAAUGUCUCCGUUGGUGAACCAGCGGAGGGAUCAUUACCGAGUUAUCCAACUCCCAACCCCUGUGAAUCAUACCUUUAAUUGUUGCUUCGGCGGGACUUCGCGCCCGCCGGGGACCCAAACCUUCUGAAUUUUUUAAUAAGUAUCUUCUGAGUGGUUAAAAAAAAUGAAUCAAAACUUUCAACAACGGAUCUCUUGGUUCUGGCAUCGAUGAAGAACGCAGCGAAAUGCGAUAAGUAAUGUGAAUUGCAGAAUUCAGUGAAUCAUCGAAUCUUUGAACGCACAUUGCGCCCGUCAGUAUUCUGGCGGGCAUGCCUGUUCGAGCGUCAUUACGCCCCUCAAGUCCCCUGUGGACUUGGUGUUGGGGAUCGGCGAGGCUGGUUUUCCAGCACAGCCGUCCCUUAAAUUAAUUGGCGGUCUCGCCGUGGCCCUCCUCUGCGCAGUAGUAAAGCACUCGCAACAGGAGCCCGGCGCGGUCCACUGCCGUAAAACCCCCCAACUUUUUAUAGUUGACCUCGAAUCAGGUAGGACUACCCGCUGAACUUAAAAGCAUA